rnacentral:rRNA from 1 species
CGUAAUAAUAGAAACUAACCAGGAUUCCCUUAGUAACGGCGAGUGAACUGGGAUACCAAUAUACCAUCUGUGCGUACUUCGGUGCGUACAAGAUUUUAGCCCGUCGAUACUAUCCUAGCAUAGUACUGGCUCCGGCCGGUAACCUAUCUAUGCGGGAAUUGUAGCAUCGUACAAAAAAAUAUAUUAUACAACGUAUAUACGCAACGCACACGCACACUUAUAUAUUAGUAUUACGUACACUUACUUUAAACACACAGCGCUCCCGCGUUGGAAAGCAAGUUUAUAUCCUUUUGGGAUAUGCCAUAGAGUGUGACAGCCACGUUUCAACUCUAUACGUACGUACGUACAUACACACUGCUGCGUUAUACACUUCGUAUUUUAUAUAACCUGAGUCGAGUUAUUU